rnacentral:lncRNA from 1 species
GCCCCCUCUCCAGCCUGUGCCACUGAGGGUCUCCAGAAGACUCCUGCAUUCAAGACAAGACCUCUGGUGCCCUCUGCCCCCUGCCUUACUUUCUUACUGCUGAGACAAUGUACCCCACUCCUACACGUUAUAGGGGCAUGGUUCGCUUCAGAUCAGUUUGUAGAGGUCCCAGUCCACUGGAAGCAAGGCAGGGAGGCCUGGCAGGGCCGUUACAGAGGACAGACAGUCCAUGGCAAGGCAGGCAGGAAGCAGCAAGUAGCAGCCUCCCCUCUUCACCGCAUUCAGGCUGUGAGGCUGUUGGUGAAUCCCACUCACACCCAGGCUGGGUCUGCUGUCUUCCCUAAUCCACUCAGCCACACCCAGAACAGCAGAGUGAUCCAGGCAUCACACCCUGCAGCUAAGGUCACACACCCAUUUCCAGCCACCUCCCACAAAGAUCACCUGGGAGUACAUGAGGAUUUGGGUUAUCUAGACAUAAGGCAUAACACCCCCCUUACCCCAUUUCAGGGUGUGGGGCUCAGGCAGCCCCUUAUGUUCCACAAUGCACAUGUAAUUCUCUUCCUCUCCAGAAGGUACCACCACAGACACCCACUUCUGGAAGGUUCCAUCUCCUGCAGGCCUGGUCUCCACCAGCUCCAGCUCCUGGGUCAGUUCCUGCCCAUCCCACUGCCAGGUCAGGGAGAUGUCCUUAGGGUAGAAGCCCAGGGCCCAGCACCGCAGGGUGACCUGAUCCUUGGAGAAGAGGUGGCGGGUCACGUGUGUCUCUGGGGAAUCUGAGGGGAAGAGGGGAAAUUUUAGGCUCUUUGUAUUCUUCCUGGGUCACUCCAGCAAAGGUUCCUGUGACCAUCCUGAGAACCUUAAGGACAAGUGGAGUUGGGG